rnacentral:rRNA from 1 species
AGCGAACGCUGGCGGCAGGCUUAACACAUGCAAGUCGAGCGGGCACUUUCGGGUGUCAGCGGCGGACGGGUGAGUAACGCGUGGGAACGUGCCCUCUGGUUCGGAAUAACUCAGGGAAACUUGAGCUAAUACCGGAUACGCCCUUUUGGGGAAAGGCUUGCUGCCGGAGGAUCGGCCCGCGUCUGAUUAGCUAGUUGGUGAGGUAACGGCUCACCAAGGCGACGAUCAGUAGCUGGUCUGAGAGGAUGAUCAGCCACACUGGGACUGAGACACGGCCCAGACUCCUACGGGAGGCAGCAGUGGGAAUAUUGGACAAUGGGCGCAAGCCUGAUCCAGCCAUGCCGCGUGAGUGAUGAAGGCCUUAGGGUUGUAAAGCUCUUUUAUCCGGGACGAUAAUGACGGUACCGGAGGAAUAAGCCCCGGCUAACUUCGUG